rnacentral:sRNA from 1 species
AUCGCUUCUCGGCCUUUUGGCUAAGAUCAAGUGUAAUAUGGUAUCUUGACUGUUUCUUUCACUAAAAUUUUCAGGAUGAAGUCCUU